AAUCUUCCGCAAUGGACGCAAGUCUGACGGAGCAACGCCGCGUGAACGAUGAAGGCCUUCGGGUCGAAAAGUUCUGUUGUUAGGGAAGAACAAGUACCAUUCGAAUAGGGUGGUACCUUGACGGUACCUAACCAGAAAGCCACGGCUAACUACGUGCCAGCAGCCGCGGUAAUACGUAGGGGGCAAGCGUUGUCCGGAAUUAUUGGGCGUAAAGGGUGCGUAGGCGGCCUUUUAAGUCAGAUGUGAAAGACCACGGCUUAACCGUGGGACUGCAUUUGAAACUGGAGGGCUUGAGUAUCGGAGAGGGUAGUGGAAUUCCCAGUGUAGCGGUGGAAUGCGUAGAUAUUGGGAGGAACACCAGUGGCGAAGGCGACUACCUGGACGAAAACUGACGCUGAGGCACGAAAGCUAGGGGAGCAAAC
rnacentral:rRNA from 1 species